CCUACGGGUGGCAGCAGUGAGGAAUAUUGGUCAAUGGGCGCGAGCCUGAACCAGCCAAGUCGCGUGAGGGAAGACGGCCCUACGGGUUGUAAACCUCUUUUGCCGGGGAGCAACGGGCGCCACGUGUGGCGCCACUGAGAGUACCCGGAUAAAAAGCAUCUGCUAACUCCGUCCCAGCAGCCGCGGUAAUACGGAGGAUGCGAGCGUUAGCCGGAUUGAUUGGGUUUAAAGGAAGCGUAUGUGGAUUGUUAAGUCAGUUGUGAAAGUUUGCGGCUCAACCGUAAAAUUGCAGUUGAGACUGGAAGUAUUGAGUACAGUAGAGGUGGGCGGAAUUCGUGGUGUAGCGGUGAAAUGCUUAGAUAUCACGAAGAACUCCGAUUGCGAAGGCAGCUCACUGGACUGCAACUGACACUGAGGCUCGAAAGUGUGGGUAUCAAACAGGAUUAGAUACCCCUGUAGUC
rnacentral:rRNA from 1 species